rnacentral:rRNA from 1 species
UACGUAGGGUGCGAGCGUUGUCCGGAAUUACUGGGCGUAAAGAGCUCGUAGGCGGUCUGUCGCGUCUGCUGUGAAAACCUGGGGCUUAACCCCGGGCCUGCAGUGGGUACGGGCAGACUAGAGUGUGGUAGGGGAGACUGGAAUUCCUGGUGUAGCGGUGAAAUGCGCAGAUAUCAGGAGGAACACCGGUGGCGAAGGCGGAUCUCUGGGCCAUUACUGACGCUGAGGAGCGAAAGCGUUGGGGAGCGAACAGG